GAGAGAGAGAGAGAGAGGUGCACUCAUGUCAGUAAUAAUUUUAGAAACAUUCUAAGUGCCAACCAAUUCAUAAUAGAUGCGGAUCUUUAAUAUCUCAAAAAAAGAAAAUUGAACUAUGGUGUUCCUCACAACAUUCAUGGAUUGGUUUUGUGGGUUUCAUAUGCAGUUCAUAUGUACGUACUCGAACAAUUUUCGAAAAGUUAAAAAAAAUUGCAUGAUUGUUGCUUCCAGAAGCAAAACUCAUCAGCAUGAAAAGUAUUGAUACGUACAGCCAAAC
rnacentral:lncRNA from 1 species